CUUCCUCCCCGGCCCGGCCCGGCCCGGCCCGCGGGCAAGCCCGCCCGCAGGAGAAACACCUCCCGCCCGGGGUAUUACUUAAUCAGCCGUUGUUAUUAUAAUAUCGACAUAAAAGCUAAUGCACGAAAAGGGCACUGAAGUGAUCUUUCACUCUGGAUGUCACCAUCUGAAACAGGAGCCCAACCCUCUAGUGCAGAAGCAGCUGGAGUUUUGCCAUGGAGCAGCAUUUGGUGCCUCUGUCCCACAAGUGCAUGGUGCUUUGGGGACCAGCAGUGUCACCCUGCAAGUUGGGGCCUUUGGUUACUCGCUCACUGGAGUCAGACCUCACCCCAGGCCCAGACCAUGGUCUGUUGCUSCUUACAUGGGCUCUUCACUGCUUCAUCCAGCAUCCGAAGUGGCCUGGAGGAAAYGCAUGGCAAUGCGGUCACCCUGGCAUACGUGGAGCAGCAGUGUUGGUAGCACUGAUUUCACUGGUAAAUGGAGAAUUGAGCAGGAAGUAAAACAUCGUGAAUAUUUGGUUUGUAUUUCUGUACGUUGUCUUCUUCUGCAGCGAGUUUAAGCUGCCCUCGAGCAAGGAGGUGGAGGUGAAGGCAGGAGUUCCCACCGCAAGGGCCAGGCCCUGUGACGCCGUAGCCUGGUGACAUGGCAGUUCUGCUCCCGCAGCGCUGCCGUCACGGCGAGGCCUCCUGUUCCCCGGUCCUUUCUCCCCCGUUUGUGUUCCCAGCUCCCGUAACCGUGGCAGAACC
rnacentral:lncRNA from 1 species